rnacentral:rRNA from 1 species
AACGAACGCUGGCGACAUGCCUAACACAUGCAAGUCGAACGAUCCCUUCGGGGAUAGUGGCGCACGGGUGCGUAACGCGUGGGAAUCUGCCCUUGGGUUCGGAAUAACAGUUAGAAAUGACUGCUAAUACCGGAUGAAGUCUUCGGACCAAAGAUUUAUCGCCCAGGGAUGAGCCCGCGUAGGUUUAGGUAGUUGGUGAGGUAAAGGCUCACCAAGCCGACGAUCCUUAGCUGGUCUGAGAGGAUGAUCAGCCACACUGGGACUGAGACACGGCCCAGACUCCUACGGGAGGCAGCAGUGGGGAAUAUUGGACAAUGGGCGCAAGCCUGAUCCAGCAAUGCCGCGUGAGUGAUGAAGGCCUUCGGGUCGUAAAGCUCUUUUACCCGGGAUGAUAAUGACAGUACCGGGAGAAUAAGCUCCGGCUAACUCCGUGCCAGCAGCCGCCGUAA